rnacentral:rRNA from 1 species
CAGCCGCCGCGGGAAUACGAAGGGGGCUAGCGUUGUUCGGAUUUACUGGGCGUAAAGGGCGCGUAGGCGGGCGAUUUAGUCAGGGGUGAAAUCCCAGGGCUCAACCUUGGAACUGCCUUUGAUACUGAUCGUCUUGAGUUCGAGAGAGGUAAGUGGAACUGCGAGUGUAGAGGUGAAAUUCGUAGAUAUUCGCAAGAACACCAGUGGCGAAGGCGGCUUACUGGCUCGAUACUGACGCUGAGGCGCGAAAGCGUGGGGAGCAAACAGGAUUAGAUACCCCAGUAGUCCCUGUCUCUUAUAC